GCAUCGAUAGUUUAGUGGUAGAAUUGAAGCUUCCCAUGUCGGAGCAUGCUUCAGGCACGGGUUCGAUUCCCGUUCGAUGCA